rnacentral:rRNA from 1 species
AUGCAGUCGAACGAAGCUUGACGGAUGAUUUCUUCGGAAUGAAACCAGAUAUGACUUAGUGGCGGACGGGUGAGUAACACGUGAGCAACCUGCCUUUCAGAGGGGGAUAACGGCUGGAAACGGUCGCUAAUACCGCAUGACGUGUUCGGAUGGCAUCAUCUGAACAUCAAAGAUUUAUCGCUGAAAGAUGGGCUCGCGUCUGAUUAGAUAGUUGGUGGGGUAACGGCCUACCAAGUCGACGAUCAGUAGCCGGACUGAGAGGUUGAACGGCCACAUUGGGACUGAGAUACGGCCCAGACUCCUACGGGAGGCAGCAGUGGGGAAUAUUGCACAAUGGGGGAAACCCUGAUGCAGCAACGCCGCGUGAAGGAUGACGGUUUUCGGAUUGUAAACUUCUUUUCUUAGUGACGAAGACAGUGACGGUAGCUAAGGAAUAAGCAUCGGCUAACUACGUGCCAGCAGCCGCGGUAAUACGUAGGAUGCAAGCGUUAUCCGGAUUUACUGGGUGUAAAGGGAGCGCAGGCGGGACUGCAAGUUGGAUGUGAAAUACCGUGGCUUAACCACGGAACUGCAUCCAAAACUGUAGUUCUUGAGUGAAGUAGAGGCAAGCGGAAUUCCGAGUGUAGCGGUGAAAUGCGUAGAUAUUCGGAGGAACACCAGUGGCG